UCGCACCUACCGAUUGAAUGGUCCGGUGAAAUCUUUGGACUGGGACUUUGGCUUGUUUAUUCAAGACGCUGUUCUGGGAAGUUGAUUAAACCUUACCAUUUAGAGGAAGGUG
rnacentral:rRNA from 1 species